AGCGGCGGACGGGUGAGUAACGCGUGGGUAACCUGCCUCAUACAGGGGGAUAACAGUUGGAAACGGCUGCUAAUACUGCAUAAGCGCACAGUACCGCAUGGUACGGUGUGAAAAACUCCGGUGGUAUGAGAUGGACCCGCGUCUGAUUAGGUAGUUGGUGGGGUAACGGCCUACCAAGCCGACGAUCAGUAGCCGACCUGAGAGGGUGACCGGCCACAUUGGGACUGAGACACGGCCCAA
rnacentral:rRNA from 1 species